rnacentral:rRNA from 1 species
AGUGAACGCUGGCGGUAGGCCUAACACAUGCCAGUCGAACGGCAGCACAGUAAGAGCUUGCUCUUACGGGUGGCGAGUGGCGGACGGGUGAGGAAUACAUCGGAAUCUACUUUUUCGUGGGGGAUAACGUAGGGAAACUUACGCUAAUACCGCAUACGACCUACGGGUGAAAGCAUGGGAUCUUCGGACCUUGCGCGAUUGAAUGAGCCGAUGUCGGAUUAGCUAGUUGGCGGGGUAAAGGCCCACCAAGGCGACGAUCCGUAGCUGGUCUGAGAGGAUGAUCAGCCACACUGGAACUGAGACACGGUCCAGACUCCUACGGGAGGCAGCAGUGGGGAAUAUUGGACAAUGGGCGCAAGCCUGAUCCAGCCAUACCGCGUGGGUGAAGAAGGCCUUCGGGUUGUAAAGACCUUUUGUUGGGAAAGAAAAGCAGCAGGUUAAUACCCCGCUGUUCUGACGGUACCCAAAGAAUAAGCACCGGCUAACUUCGUG